CAUUUCGCUCUACAAUUAAAGUGUUUUAAAUAAAAUUACCCCCCGUUUCAAUGUUCAAAGUGGGUGGUUGCCGGAGGUGAUUAACUGUAUGUACACUACCAGAGCUGACAUAUGGGACACUGGUAUGGGAAGGCAAAGAGGAUUUGCAACAGGGAGUUUCAGAAGGUGCAAAGUCUGGCCCACGUUGAAAUCAUGGGAGCGUAAGGUCCACACCACUGUCAGAUUUAGAAGCGGUGCUGGAUAAGCAGUCUUAGCAUACUGCAGCAGAUUGGAUGCGGCACGGUUCCAUUCUGAAUACAAUGGAUACGGUUGGUCAAUAGACUGAGGAGGGUGUCAGACUUCAUAAUAACGGGACCGAUUGGAUGUCAGAUCUUCUGGGAGGUGUAUGCUGUGUUUGAAGAGGAUGAAACCUGAAGUCUGUACCAUUACGGGAAAAAAAUUACCGACUUCGUAUCUUUCCAGAUAUGUGGGUAACAUGGCGCUUGUCCUAGACUCUCUUCUUUAUUUCUUCUUAUUUUUCUUUCUCAUUACCCAGUGAGAAAAGAAGAGUGGGUGUCUUUUCUCACUGGGGUAUCAAAGUUGUCCAAACUGGCCUGCGUGUGAAUUCAUCUGUGGGAUGCCAUAUAUAUUUCUGAACUGAUAAUGAAAAUGCAAGUAUUUAACAUCAAAAUUUUUGUUAUUGUUUUCAUGCUUUGGAAUUAAUUAUCUUUUGUUUUCCAAAUUUUUUAUUGUUAUUUCUGAGCUGGAAUAAAAACAGUUCUGAAGUGUACCACUUAUCAAGCGGAACAGUCGUUAUAUGACCAGUUUUUCCGAAAAAAACAGGCGACCAUUUGCUUCAAAGUGCUUCUUCCACGAACAACUUUGUUUGGAAGACCCAUACUGAUUUUAAAGCACAGCGAUCGUAUUUUUUCAUAAUUUCUUUGCAACAGCUUUUUUUAUGAGCGAUUGUCAAAUUGUGUGGGAUCCAACGAGAAAAACCUGGCCAGGUUUUAAAUCAAUGUCAAGUGUAUGCCCGUGCCCAAGGAUAUGACUGACAGUGUGUCUAAUGGACAUUAAUUUAUUAUUUUAUUCAAUUGCAUGCCUUAUCUUCGAAAAAAUGGCACGUAUUAUUUUAGCUUCUUCGUAUCGUUUUAAUAACAUGAAUCAUAAGUAGUAAAAUUUUAAAUUUACCUCAAUAUUUCUAUAAAUUUUAUUUGCAGCAUGCAAUCAAAAUUGUUGAAUUGUUAAAUACAACUAUCUUAGUAAGCUACUUAUACAAAUUUCUAUAUGAGUAACUUAUAAAAUAUUUUAAAUUUUUAAAUGAA